rnacentral:rRNA from 1 species
AUUGGUAACGAUAGCAGUGAGGAUACACCUGUUCCCAUCCCGAACACAGAAGUUAAGCUCACUAACGCCGACGAUAGUGUAAGCGAAAAUAGGAAGUUGCCAAUA